UACGGGGGGGGCAAGCGUUGUUCGGAAUUACUGGGCGUAAAGGGCUCGUAGGUGGCCAACUAAGUCAUACGUGAAAUCCCUCGGCUUAACCGGGGAACUGCGUCUGAUACUGGAUGGCUUGAGGUUGGGAGAGGGAUGCGGAAUUCCAGGUGUAGCGGUGAAAUGCGUAGAUAUCGUAAGGAAGACCAGUGGCGAAGGCGGGUCUCUGGACAGUUCCUGACGCUGAGGCACGAAGGCCAGGGGAGCAAACGGG
rnacentral:rRNA from 1 species